CAAUAGCGUAUAUUAAAGUUGUUGCAGUUAAAACGUCCGUAGUCAAACUUUAGUCUUACUGGCGUAGUGGCCUGGUCUUCAUUGACCAAGCUCAUUGCUGCCGGAGACUCCAUGUUCAUUAGGGGAAAAUCUCUAGGGGUUUUUUCUUAUUUGAACAAUUACCAUGAGCAAAUCAGAGUGUUUAAAGCAGGCUUUUAAGCUUGAAUGUGUUAGCAUGGAAUAAUGAAAUAUGACUUUAGUCCUAUUUUCGUUGGUUUAGGUACUUCAGUAAUGAUGAAUAGAAACGGUUAGGGGCAUUUGUAUUUGGUCGCUAGAGGUGAAAUUCUUGGAUUGACCGAAGACAAACUACUGCGAAAGCAUUUGACCCGGGACGUUUUCAUUGAUCAAGGUCUAAAGUUAAGGGAUCGAAGACGAUUAGAUACCA
rnacentral:rRNA from 1 species